UUCAGAACGUCGCGAGACAGUUCGGUCUCUAUCUGCUGUGGGCGUUGGAAAUUUGAGAGGAGCUGACUUUAGUACGAGAGGACCGAGUUGGACAGCCCUCUAGUGUACCUGUUGUAUCGCCAGAUGCACCGCAGGGUAGCUACGGCUGGUUGGGAUAAGCACUGAAAGCAUAUAAGUGCGAAGCCCACCUCAAGAUGAGAUUUCCCUUAAGGGUCGUUCGAGAUGAGGACGUUGAUAGGCUUCAGGUGUAAAGGCAGUAAUGUCAUAGCCGAGAAGUACUAAUUACCCGUGGCUUUCUAAGA
rnacentral:rRNA from 1 species